GACGAACGCUGGCGGCGUGCCUAAUACAUGCAAGUCGAGCGCAGGAAGCUGACGGAACUCUUCGGAGGGAAAGCAGUGGAAUGAGCGGCGGACGGGUGAGUAACACGUAAGGAACCUGCCUCAAGGAUUGGGAUAACUCCGAGAAAUCGGAGCUAAUACCGGAUAGUUCAACGGACCGCAUGGUCCGCUGAUGAAAGGCGCUCCGGCGUCACCUUGAGAUGGCCUUGCGGUGCAUUAGCUAGUUGGUGGGGUAACGGCCCACCAAGGCGACGAUGCAUAGCCGACCUGAGAGGGUGAUCGGCCACACUGGGACUGAGACACGGCCCAGACUCCUACGGGAGGCAGCAGUAGGGAAUCUUCCACAAUGGACGAAAGUCUGAUGGAGCAACGCCGCGUGAGUGAUGAAGGUUUUCGGAUCGUAAAACUCUGUUGUAAGGGAAGAACACGUACGAGAGGGAAUGCUCGUACCUUGACGGUACCUUACGAGAAAGCCACGGCUAACUACGUGCCAGCAGCCGCCGUAAAAC
rnacentral:rRNA from 1 species